CUCUCUUAUCUGUAACCAUGUAAGAUGUGCCUUUCACCUUCCACUAUAAUUGUGAGGCCUCUUCAGCCACGUGGAACUGUAUUGAUUUUAAUCUGAUUAAAUGAAAUAACCACGUGUCAACCUGGGGGAAAGACUGCGUGAAGACCAUCAUGAUCAUCUCAAAACUCAAAGGAAUUUGCAUCCAGAAUGGCUUAACUUUGAGAAUAGUUACACCUCAAGGCAACCUCCUGGCAGGCCAGCCUUAAGCCCAGCAGUCCAACCAUGCAUCUAAGCUGAGUUCUCAUCAGAGCCAACUUCAAUUAUAAACAACUGAGAUGAUGCCAGAGGCCAGAAUCCCUGAGAACCCAAUUGCUGUCAUCAC